rnacentral:lncRNA from 1 species
UUGGAUAUGAUAUUUGUCAUGAGAUGUUGUAUGUUCUCUUACUUGGGAUAUGAGAAUUGUUUGGAAUGGUGAAACUAUAUGAUAUAGUUGAUGUUGAAUGACAUUGUUGAUUAUUGAUAAUCAUGUUGAUGUGUGAUGGUGAAUACUAUGAUUUAUUUGUGUGGGCAUGUUUUCUUGAUAAUGCAAUGUUGUGGAGAUAAUCAAUAUAAUUGGGUGUCGUCCUAUAUAUUGAGUUGAGAUUGUGAAUUGUUGUCGCAUUAUCGAGUCCUU